rnacentral:rRNA from 1 species
GUCGAGAAUUUUGGGCAAUGGACGAAAGUCUGACCCAGCAAUGCCGCGUGCGGGAUGAAGGUCUUCGGAUUGUAAACCGCUGUCGAGGGGGACGAAAAAUGACGGUACCCCUGGAGGAAGCCACGGCUAACUACGUGCCAGCAGCCGCGGUAAUACGUAGGUGGCGAGCGUUGUUCGGAUUUAUUGGGCGUAAAGGGUCCGCAGGGGGUUGAUUAAGUCUGACGUGAAAUCUCUGAGCUCAACUCAGAAAUUGCGUUGGAGACUGGUUGACUAGAGUGUUGGAGAGGUAAUUGGAAUUCCAGGUGUAGCGGUGGAAUGCGUAGAUAUCUGGAAGAACAUCGAAAGCGAAGGCAGAUUACUGGACAACAACUGACCCUCAGGGACGAAAGCAUGGGGAGCAAACAGGAUUAGAAACCCUUGUAGUCC